rnacentral:rRNA from 1 species
UACGUAGGGUGCAAGCGUUAAUCGGAAUUACUGGGCGUAAAGCGUGCGCAGGCGGUUGUGCAAGACCGUUGUGAAAUCCCCGGGCUUAACCUGGGAAUGGCAUUGGUGACUGCACGGCUAGAGUGUGUCAGAGGGGGGUAGAAUUCCACGUGUAGCAGUGAAAUGCGUAGAGAUGUGGAGGAAUACCGAUGGCGAAGGCAGCCCCCUGGGAUAACACUGACGCUCAUGCACGAAAGCGUGGGGGGCAAACAGG